AAUCAUCCUCAACUCUUCCAAGCGUUCAUUCGCUUUGGAACAGUUGGAUUUUGGACGUGUUGUUUCCUUCCUUUUCGGCAACGUAGAAGUUGGAAACUCGUCUCAAAUAGAUGGGAAAUGCUGGGGUCACCGUUUGAACGGACCUUGCAAAGCAGCAACAGUGAUCUUCAUUGAUUUUGUUACUCUCUUUGUGCACGGGUCUUUAGGUACCUCGUUUUACAAGGCCUUUCCGAAUCGCCCUUUUUGUACAGCCUUGCUGUCGGGCAACAAUUUAAGA
rnacentral:misc_RNA from 1 species